UAGCCAUAUCACGUUGAAACACUUGUUUUCAUCCAAUCACUGAAGUUAAGCAACAAAGAGCCUGGUCACUGCCUAGAUGGGUGACUGCUUGGGAAUGCCAAGUGCUGUAAG